rnacentral:rRNA from 1 species
AGGUCAAGCUACAAAGGGCGCAUGGUGAAUGCCUUGGCAUCAGGAGCCGAUGAAGGACGUGAUAAGCUGCGAUAAGCUUCGGGUAGGCGCACAUAGCCAGAGAUCCGGAGAUUUCCGAAUGGG